rnacentral:lncRNA from 1 species
AAAAAAAAAAAAAAAAAAAGAGCGGUAAAUGAGUCAUUUAUUUGAUAUUUGAUCUUGAGAAUAUAAAAUAUACAUUUAUUAUAAGAAAAAUAUUUAAAAAUAAAAAGUACAAGAAAAAUAUAUUGUUAGUAUUUUUUUUAUUCACGUCGAAACUUAUAUUUCUUAUUUUUAGUAUUUAAUUUUUAUUUCAAUUUAUAUGAUUUUUUUAAAUAUAAAAAAAAUGUAUUUGAAAAGUAAGGAUAAUACUGUAAAAUUAUUAUAAUAACAAUAGCAAGUAAAUCAUAUAUAUUAAUUUCAAUCUGGUGAAACUGAUAGUCGCCUUCUAAGGCAAUGCUUCGUUUUAUAUAACCUUAUUUAUAUAAAGCUUUUGUUAGUGGAACUUUUGCAAGUAGAACUUUUAUCUAAAAACUUUAGGUGUGUGGUUGUCAGUGAAAACUUUUAUUUAAAAUUAUAAAAUUACUUCAAUAGACAAGUUCUUUAAAGUUAUUAUGAAAAGAAUGAAAUAGGAUUAUUAAAUAAGUUGAUGAUAAUUUUAAAAUUUUAACAUUUAAAAAAAAUUCAACAUCUACUUCCAAAAACUUAAAAUUUGAGUUUUUAUUAGUAGAUGCAAAAUAGCUUAUUUAAUUUUUAGAAACUUUACCAAAAAAAAAAAUAAUAACAAAAAUUUUAAUAAGAGCUUAUAGGACUAAGUAAGCACUUAUAACCAAUAAAUAAAUCAUACCAAUCAAACACUAAAACAAUAAUAAUAUUGUGACUUUAGCUUAUUAGUAAUAUUAACUUACAUACGAUUUGAAGAGAUACUGCAUUGUGGAACACAACCUUAGUUCAAUUAACACAUGUAACUUCCUCUUUAUGUGUUCUUUGCUCCUUGAGACUAUAAUUUUCAUCUGAAAUUUAAAAAAAAAAACUAUUAUUGUGUGAUUUUUCUUUUCUUUUUUGUUUUUAAUAGAGAGUUCAAAUAGGAAACAAGAAAAAAUGAAUCAAAAGAAAUCAAGUUGUCAUCAAUUCAAUUGCAAUACUUUUAGUGGAUACAUUAAAAAUGUAUGCUCACUAAGAUGAGGAUACACCCAACUCCUAAGUUAAUUUUUAGAACGAACAAUUACAGGUUGACCUUUUGUCACCUAUGGAGUUUAAGACCAUCUCCUGAAAUCAAUACGACUUACUGGCGUUCAGCAUUAUUAAUUGUAUGUGUUGGGACAUCAUCUGUCUACUCAAGCUCAAAAUCACAAUCAGGUUCUUCCUAUGAAAUUUUAUUAACUUUUGUGGGUAUAGAACUACAAUCACUUUCUCCUAGAAUUAAUACGGCUUGCUGACCUGUCGUUCAACAUUAUUGAUUUUAUGAGUUGGGAUGUGUAGAAUCACAGUUAGCUUCAUCCUAUAGAAUUUGAACAACUUUUUUUGGCUCCAACACUAGCAGGUAUCAAUGGUUGUGCUUUGAUUCAUUCGAUUCUUGCUUUGAUUCAUUCGAUUCUUGAUAAUGAUCUUUGUAAGCUAGUAACUUGAUUUGUGUGUAUUUAUUUUGAAAAAUUAUCAUGCAAGUAGUGGUUAUGUUAAAUCCAAAUGCACAUAUCACACAUAUAUUAGUUAGUUGUAUUAUAUUUGAUGUAUUAUAGAAUUUCUUCUUUUUUUAGCCACUACUCAGUAGAGUUACUUAGAACUCGAUCGGCCAAUUAAAAAAAAAAAACUAUUUAUUUAUUUAUUUAGUGUAACACUAACUCAAUCCCUCCAACCCACUCAUAGUUUCAAAUAUAUAGCACAGGCUGGUGCAAAGAGAGAUAAGAGUCAUAUAAACAGACUUGUAUACAUGAUGGCUAUUGAAACUUCAUUAUUCUCUCUCAUGGAUCUUGGAUUUAUCAUAUAUGGAACAUGAAAUUUUCUGUUUUUCUACCUUUCUUUUCCUAAAAAGAAAUUUUUAUUGAAAAAGCAUUACAAGAAAUCUCCUGACUCAAUUAGGAAAUUUUCCAACCAAAACUGAGUGAUUUGAGGAAGUUUGGCUAAAACAUGAACAGCUUGAUUUAAAUUCCUAGAAACAGGACGAACUUUAAAAACAUUACCAGAAAAUUUGACAUAUUUGAAUAACCUAAAUUACCCAAAAGCUCUCAUUUUCGCUGCCGCACUUGUUGCAAAUAGGCCUAUUACAUUCGUCAAAUUAGAUUCAAUAAUAAGAGGGAUCAAACAUACAACUCUAGUUGAGUUGUCAAGUGCUUCCUUAUUUUAUUUUUUUAAGUUCAGGGCUUUAGUUUAUCGUUGAGUGUGAAAGCUUAUUCAUUUAUUCUUUUUAUUUGAUUUCAAAUUUUUGAGCUAAACUUCAACUUUAAGACUGCUUGAGGCAAGUACCAUCAAACAUAAAGAGGUGAUUAAAAGUUACUUUAUGCAAUAAAAUGUUAUGUUAUGUUAUGUUAUUAUCCUUUUCAAACCUAUCUUCUUCUUGUCAAUUCCAUAGUUGGAUUCUUGGACUCGGGCAAAGUUUAUAUGCUAUCAAAAAUGAAUUAAAAAAAAAAAAGUCUCAAAAAAAUUGUUUUUGCAAGUUUAGGAGAAUAAUUUUAUAGAAAAACUUGUAUAGAAAAAUAAAGCUUAUAUGAAAAAAAUAAAAUAAAGCAUUCAUUGCAUCAAAUUAGUGAAUUCCAUUGCUAGGACAGCAAAAUAGCAGGUGUAAAUGGAAUGCACAGCAAAAGAGAAGAAUGCAUCCUACAUUUUCUAAUGAUGAUAUGCUGAGAAACAAGCCUUCAAUGAGAUUACAAGUAGCAAAAGUCCAGCAAAAGUGUAAUUGAUUUUUUCAAUCAAGAAGCAAACAGUGUAGCACAAUACAGCAGAUCAGUGCAUAACUUAAGAAGCAGAGAUCAAGCAAUAAGUGCUUCAUUCCUAAUUGAUUUUCUCAGGAUAUCACCAUCUACUAGGAAGCUAAGGGUAACAUUAUGAGUAGCUAAAAAUCCAGCUAAGUAAAUCACUUGUAGAUAAUCUGCUCUUCAUUCUAUUAUUAUAAAGGUCUUACUUUUCUUGAAACAAAAGUUAUGUGAUCAUAUAGGGACAUGAAAGUUAACCAAACCAAGAUCAGUUCCAAAUUGUGGUAGCGAGGAAAUUAAGCUUAUAAAUUCUGCAUUUCAUUACCAUUGUUAUUGCCGCCAACUUUCAAGCAAAUCAUAUGCUGCCAGUCAUUAUGAUUCAUAGAACAAAGGGUCAAAACAUCAAGAAGAUUCAAGAGUAGGUAUAUCUGCACUUCUCUAUAUCUAACUUUUGUGUGCAUAUGCUUGAAAUAAAUCAGUUGUUGAAUGACUUUUGUGCUCUUUGACUGGACUCUUACACUUGAUGAUAACUUGCUCUUGGAUCAUUUCUUUUUUUUCUUCUUUUGACUUGUAUCACAAGAGUUAGGCCAAUUUACAUACUGUUGUUAUCAUUUAAUACCAGAAUUUCCAAUUUGUUGACAACUAUUUCACAGCUAUCGUAUUGCAAUAAAUAUCUGAUUAAUACACACUCCCCUGAUUGAAUUUCCAGGUUUCACCGCGAGUUUGGCCUUUUAGCAGGUCAAGGGAUAUGCCACGGUUGUCAAAUACAACUGAUUAUUUCAGGAUAUGACAAUCAACUAGAAAGCAAAGCAAACUGUAACAUCAAGAUUAAAGCAAAUUCCAGCUAAGUAUCACUCAGAUAGCAGAUAUAUUAUGCUCUUUCUAUGACUAAAAAGGAAUCACUUAUCUCGAGACGAGAGAAUUUAACAAUAUGGGGACAAUAGAAACCAAAGGAAAAUUUAUUCUUCUUAUAUUCUACAUAUCAUUUCAAUCUGCCGGAAAUAAAAUAGAUCAUUCAUCUUGGUCAGUCAUUAUGCUCUGGCUACGUUUCUAAAAGCAUUUACUUUUCUUGGGACAAAAGUAAUUAUAGAGCAUAUAGGUACAUGACAAUGUGAAAGAGCGGUGAAGGGUUGUAAUCUUUUGUUCAAUUUUUUCUUAUAUUCGACAAAGAUAAGCAAGAUCAAUUACGAAUUCUGAAAGAAUAAGGAAGUCUUAUUCUUUGUUUCAUUACGAUUAUGCAAAACUCAGAUCAAUCAAAUCAUUCCACAGCAUAAGGUCAGAUUUGUAUUGCCAGCAAAAAUUAUGGCUAGGAUGUAAGUUAGAGUUAUGCCCCAACUGACUAAGGAUGCGUUUGGAAUUGAGGUGCUGUAACUUUUAAGCUACAACUGCUGUGAAAAAAAAACUGUAAUUAUAAAACAAAAGUUAAUAAUAUAUAGUAAAUAUAAAUUUUAAAUAAUAAUUUUGAUAAAAUUAUUAAAGAUAUAAUAAAUUUUAUAUUAUACAAGUGAAAAAUCAUAUCAACAUAUCUUAAAAGCUACAACAGCUAGUGUUUACCAAACACUUUAGUGCUGUAGCUUUUAAGCUACAGCUGCCCAACCUCAAUCCCAAACGCACCCUAAGUGACUGGCUAGUUCCACCUCUAACUCCAAGAAAUUUGUGUACUGAACAGAUUGGAUUCUUAUUUGAUCUGAGCUUUUAUCUCAGGACGAACAUAUCUCUAAUAGGAUGUCAAUGAAUGAAAGUAUUUCAAAGCAGUAAAUCUUUAAAACAUACGAAAAUAUGCAUGUAUAUCAUAGUAACAUUCAAUGACCAGGUGAGUUCAUGUGAAGAAAUAAUCUUAAUUCGUACUGAACGUGCUCCAUAUAUUGUAAAACGCGUAAAACCAGCGUCGAUUAAGUGUCAAGACAUGAACAUAAGGUUUAUUCUUAGUUCUAUCCUCCAAAGUGUGAAUAGAACAGAAUCUGUGGAUUGAUUUUCCAGCACUUUUCGAUUUUUCCCAGGUAUAUAUACCCUUGAUUGUCCCCUAUAUCUAACUUUGUGGACAGAUGCUUUUAACAUUUUGAUUGAGAAUAUGAAGUUGCGGGUGGCAGACACAAAGCUAGAGAUAAUGAAAAAUAAUUCAGCAUUAUCACAUGUCAAUAUGCUGAUGACAAGAAUGGAACAUCGCACGGUAAAAACAUCAACAUAAGCUCUAUUUGGAAUUGAUUACCGUUGUUGUGAAAAAAAAAAAAAGGUAUAACUUGUGAAAUAAAAGUCAAUAUUAUAUAAAAAAAAAUAUAAUUUUUAAAUAAUAAUUUUGAUAAAAUUAAUAAAGAUAUAAUAAAUUUUUCAUCAUUCAAGUAUAAAAUCAAAUUAAUUUAGUUUUCAAAUUAUAACAACUAGUAUUUACCAAACACUUUAGAAUUGUACCUUUUAAAGUAUAGCUGUCCAACCUCAAUUCUAAACAAGCUUAUAAUCUUGAAACUCUUUGAAGACACUUAAGUUAUUGGGCAAUUGAAGAUGCCACCCGAGUGUGGGAUACAUUGCAUAUGGUUAAUCAUUUGUCUCUAAUUCUGCUUAGCACCCACUUCUCAAAAAACAUGCCAUGUUCCUGAGGUGAAUUAUUCACCAGCUGCUUCACGAUUGUAUUUGAUUAAAUGUUAGUGACAUAAACGGCACCUUUACGGAGGUGCAGUUUUGAUGCCGUUUAUGUCACCCAUGUGUAGCCCGUUUAUAAAUCAUAUCAACUCCUUCACGAGGGUCAUUGAGAUGCUAAAAUUUGGCCUGGCUUUCUGGGAGCAGCUGCAGUGCCCUUACAAACUCCAAUCACCAACACCCAUUUUCACCUUAUUAUAUAUUAAUCUAGGGCACUAGAGAAUACGUUUCGAAAGCCACAACUCACAAGCACCAGGCUUCACAUUUUUUUAUAUUCUUACAAGCAUCACAACUUUUUUCAGUGCAUUCCCAAUCUUGAGCACAAAGAGGUCUUUGAGGCUCUAGACAGUACACUAGACACAAGAAAGCCCACAAAAUUGUGGUCAACAAAAGUGGGUACCAUUUGAAAAUAACUGUAUCGAAGCAUCAGAAGCCAAUUCACAUGCUGCAAGAACAAAUCUUUCUUAUCUGAAAAUACCGACCAGCAAUCAGAUAGGAGAAAAAUAACAUCAAAGCACAAUUGCCAAUAUCAACAAAGCUCAAUUUAGACCCAUUUGGCAAGCCCGGCUGUUAACCCAAGACAGAGUAUAAGACAAAACAGACCCCACAAGUUACGAUUUCGUAACCCAAUUUUCUAACCUUUUUUCAAAAGUCCGCAAAUGACAAAAAGGCCCUACACGGGAUCUAAAUUGAAUAAAGAGCAUGCACCUGAUUCAAAAAGUAAUCUAUUUUUCAAUUAACAUACAGUAGCUCAAAAGAAUCAAAUCAACAAAACCAAAAAGAGAAUUGAGUUUAAUCUAAAAGCUCUGAUUGAAGUCUACUAAUGUUGACAUAAAAAGAGGCCAUGAGAUCCCGAAUUUACAAAAGGGCGGAUUCAGUACCCAUCACUCCUCUUCUUCACUAAAAUUGCAAAAGACAACGUUCAACUGCUUCCAUCUUUUGCAAUGAAAAUCUAAAAAUUAAAAUAGACAAUGAAAUUAAAAUUACGGAAUAAAAACUUGCAACAAGACAAGCUCAAGGAUUAGAUGAAGCAUUUCGAUAGGGUGACAGGUGAUACUAAGAAUACACAUCUAAGCAUAGCAGUAUGACCACUGCUCAUCCUCAUUUGGAGAAGAAUCAACAACAGCAUCGUAAUCCUCCCCGUUGCAAUAGUAUAACCCACCACCAUUAUUGAUAGCAGUCAAAGAACAAGAGGAUGGCACCACAAGAUAUGGCAUGCUGUGAAAGUACUGAGCAAGGCUGCUAGCUAAAGCAGAAUUAUUAGCCAUGCCGUGAUCGUAAUCAUCAGUAUCACCAUCCCCACCAUUACUACCAUGCUCCUGUCCACAAUAUUCCUCAGCACGGUGUUUGAGGGUCUCAAACAUGAGCUCGGGCUCGUGCUGCAUCACCCGGAGGACAUCCCCACAAGACGGCCCAGGCAUGGCCCGAGUCACAGCAAAGCUGUGCGGACCAUCACUCUGCAAGACGCGUACCACGCUUGGACCACCAAACAAGUUGUGGACUCCACCGAGGGCCUCCUCAUAAGCCCCGCCCAAGAACAUCCCCAAAUAAUAAGGCCCACGCUCACCACAACCACCACCAACCAUUUCAUGUAACGGCAAGCUCGUACCACCACCAAUGAACUUAUCAAUCUUACCAUCACUAUCACAAGUCAAAUCCGAUAAAACCCCCCUCACUCCAGGCCUCUCAUCCAAAUGAUGAAUUGGAACAAUAGGAAACAACUGACCAAUGGCCCAAUAAUCCGGAAUUGAAGUGAAAAUAGAUAGAUUCACAUGAUAAGUACGAACAGGAUCAGAAGCACCUAUUUCCAUAGCUACAAAAUCACACAACCCAUCAACAGUAGCUAAUUGUUCAAUACCUAAAGUCCCAUCCUUAAACUGCUCAAUGCAUCUUUGUUUCAAUUGAUCAGCAUAGAACAAACAGGUCUCAAACUCACCUCUCAGAGCAGCAGUAGUCAUCUUUGUAUAAUCCGAACGAGCAUCCUCGGUCAACCCUUCUACCAAAUACUGCAAACCGAGAGGACUCAUAGCAACCGGGGCGGCACGGGAGACACUAGCCGAAACAGCUUCAAAUAUCAAAAUGGAAUGAUGAGACACAAUAGCACGACCGCUCUCGCUGCAAAGAACAGGAUGCUUAACAUUCUUCCGGUCACAAACAUAGCGAAUUGCUUGAACAACGGCAGAGGCAUAUUCUUCGAGGGUAUAAGCGACUGAGAGAUCCGAAUCAGCCGAUUUGGAUCCGUCAUAAUCGAUACCCAACCCGCCCCCGAUGUCAAUGACUUGCAUAUUAGCACCAAGACGGACUAAUUCACAAUAAAUCUGAGCAGCUUCACCAACACCAUCGGUAAGCAAAGCCGUUGAUGGGAUCUGGGAUCCGAUAUGAAAAUGCAACAGCUGGAAGCAAUCAAGCAUUUCAGCCACCUCAAGUUUCUUCACAACCCGCAGAAUCUGGGUGGUUGUUAACCCAAAUUUGCCUUUCUCCCCGGAGGUCGACCCGAAAUGACCCGAAUGUUUGGUUCUCAACUUGGCCCGAGCGCCAAUCACGGGUCGGACAUUCAGCUUCUUGCUUAUCUCAAUAACCAAAUCGACCUCCUCUUCUUGCUCAAGAACAAUCACUGCGUUCAAAUCUAGCUUCCUCGCCAGCAAAGCGAGAGUGAUGUAUUCAGCAUCUUUGAAUCCAUUACAAACGAGCAAAGCUUCAGGGCUUCCUUUGCACAAGCAACUCAUAGCCAACAACAGCUCCGGUUUCGACCCGGCUUCCAACCCGAAGCGGAACUGCGACCCGAAUUUCACAAUAUCCUCCACAACGAACCGGUCCUGGUUACAUUUCACGGGGAACACCCCCUGAUAACGGGCCUCGUAGCCUUGCGUCUGGAUAGCGAAUUCAAAGGCUGACUGAAGGGACUCAAGGCGGUCCCUGAGCACGUCCGGCAGCCGGACGAUGAGAGGGAGCUGCAACCCGAGCCCACCGACUGAUUUCGGAUCCGAAACCUUCUUAACAAUCUUGAGCAGGUCAAUCUCCUGGUGGGCCAGCGUGGCGUGGCCGUACGGACGGACGGAGACGUUGCCGGAUGGGUUGACGGCGAAGUAGGGCGCACCCCAGGAGUCGAUUUUGUACAACGAUGCCGAGUGAGACGGCGACCAAUGUGAAGCGUCCACGUCGGCGGCAACAGAACCAGCCGAGGCGGAGGUAGGGGACAUAGGUGUGGGUGGUGGUGCGCCGGAGAUAAAAGAAAGCGGCAGCGGCGGCGGCGCGGGGAGGGAGCCGAGUGGGGAGUUGGCGUAGGCAGGAGGCGCUACGGCAGCGUCUACGCAACACCCAAGGGCCGGCAUCCUCUUUCCGCGGAGACGAGUAAAAGUGCGGCCUUGUUUUUAAAGAAUUAAAGAAAAAAAAAAGAAAAAGUAAAAACGAGGAGGGGGGGUUAGUUUAGAAGAUGAAUUUUUUUCUCAAGGUCUGUAAAGGUGGGGGCUUUAGAACCCGCCGAGGCCGAGGCCCCGGCUACCCCCUCAAAAGGAGACAGUAGAAGAUCUAUUACAAUUGAAAGACAGCCCCGCCUCUUUAACUACUUUUGUAAGCAACCCACAUCCAACCCUCAGAAGAAAAAUAAAAGACAACGAAGAUUUUUACGAAUCUGAAAAUUCAAAAGGCCCUGCACAGAUCUGAGAAACGGAAAUGAGACCAAACGAAUAAAAGAUAAGAGAAGAGAGGAGGAGAAGCGUGCGAGGGAAAUGAGAGGAGAGUGAGAAAAGGGAUCUGGGGGGGUGGAAAUGAAAAGAGUGUCGGGGGAGGGAGUUCAGGAGAUUUUCCCGGAAAGUGAGGGAAAAUAGGAAAGAGAGAUGCCAAGAGUUUCUGUUAGCUAAUAGAAGCUAGGGUUUUGGGUGGUUUUUAUCUUCAAACAAGAAGAUGUCUUACGAAGGUGGAACUGGGCGAGAUU